rnacentral:rRNA from 1 species
CCUACGGGAGGCAGCAGUGGGGAAUAUUGGACAAUGGGCGCAAGCCUGAUCCAGCCAUGCCGCGUGUGUGAAGAAGGCCUUCGGGUUGUAAAGCACUUUCAGCGAGGAGGAAGGGAUGUAUGUUAAUAGCAUGCAUUUUUGACGUUACUCGCAGAAGAAGCACCGGCUAACUCUGUGCCAGCAGCCGCGGUAAUACAGAGGGUGCAAGCGUUAAUCGGAAUUACUGGGCGUAAAGCGCACGUAGGCGGUUUUUUAAGUCAGAUGUGAAAGCCCCGGGCUCAACCUGGGAAUUGCAUUUGAAACUGGGGAACUAGAGUGUGUGAGAGGGGGGUAGAAUUCCAAGUGUAGCGGUGAAAUGCGUAGAGAUUUGGAGGAAUACCAGUGGCGAAGGCGGCCCCCUGGCACAACACUGACGCUCAGGUGCGAAAGCGUGGGGAGCAAACAGGAUUAGAUACCCUGGUAGUCCACGCCGUAAACGAUGUCUACUAGCUGUCGUGUCCUUGUGAUGUGAGUAGCGCAGCUAACGCACUAAGUAGACCGCCUGGGGAGUACGGUCGCAAGAUUAAAACGUCAAAUGAAUUGACGG